rnacentral:rRNA from 1 species
UACGAAGGGGGCUAGCGUUGUUCGGAAUUACUGGGCGUAAAGAGCGCGCAGGCGGUCGUGCAAGUCGCGUGUGAAAGCCCCCGGCUCAACUGGGGAGGGUCACGCGAUACUGUUCGACUCGAAGGCAGGAGAGGGAAGCGGAAUUCCCGGUGUAGUGGUGAAAUGCGUAGAUAUCGGGAGGAACACCAGUGGCGAAGGCGGCUUCCUGGCCUGUUCUUGACGCUGAGGCGCGAAAGCUAGGGUAGCAAACGGG